GAAAGAGAGAUUGAAUCGUUAGACAGAGUAGAACCAGUAAAAGAAAAGAGAUACGUAAUCGGUUGGUAUUCUCGGUAAAUGCUCCGAAUUCCGCGUACCCGCCGCCGAUAGAGGCCGUUAUCGGUCUCGACAACCGAGUACGUUCCGCGACGUUCCGAUCGUAUUAGUAGAUCGCGAUUCGUCCAGUCACUUUAGUCGUGAUCGUUCGCACGGUGGAGAAAGAUCGCGGGGAGCCCCGCUGGUACUUCGACGUUCAUUCUUCGGCCACGCAUACUCGCCAGCAGAGUUCGAUCGUGAGUACGUGAGAAAAGUCGUAAGCAAAUAAAACGGAGGCCACCGGGAAAGGGAUCGGAGAAACCACGAAUUUCGGUUUUCCGUGAAAGUUUUUCGCGAGUCAGCAGAUGGUGAAGCUCCUGCGUAGUUGACGAUCAGUAUGGAGGAGAGAAAAGAGGGAGAGAGAGCGAAAGAAAGAAAGAGAGAGAGAGGAUGGGUGAGUAAGGGGGAGAAGGAAAGAAAGAAAGAAUAAAAACGAUGAGCAGCCGGCCUCGUAGCACGCGGGGGUAAAAGUCCGGUCGAAAAUAAUUUCGAGACACGGCUGCUGUCACGUAUACAUACGGGGCCGGCUUAUGCCGCAUUCCGGUCCAGCUUACGAAACGGAACGGAACGAAACCAUUUUUAAUUUUCGCACCGACACUCUCGAGUCCGCGGUCAAGUGAUAUCCGGAGAAGUUCGCUGUUUCUGCUUCCCUUCCUUCUUCUUCUUCUUCUUCGUUCUCUCCGUUCGACUUUGAUGUCGUCGAACGAAUAUUUCACGGAAGAAAACCGCGGAUCGAUCGAUGUGGCGAAACUAACCAAACCGAAGGAAACGUCACGUAAUAGUGCCUGCGCCGCCGGCUAACCUCGUUCUCGCAAUUCACCGGAAGAGGUAAACCACGUGCACCACCUCGGACAUACACAGAGCCUCUUGAGACGGCGGCGAUAGUCUCCUCCGGCUAGCGUAGGCCCGCGUCUGGACAAAGGGAACGGAAAUGGCAUGCGAAUCCCGAUGACGUCAGCCGUCGCCGUGAAAGAAAAAGAAACGCGUAUAGGACGGUGCACGAGACGAAACGAGACGAGACAUGGGACGGUACGGGACGAGAGACGGACGUGGUGGGAGGUUGGAAGGGGCAAGGGGGCGGAGAGGGGCACGCCACAGGACAGAAGAGAAGAGAGGAGGAGGAGGAGAGGAGUUGGCCGAGGCAGCCAGCGAGGAGAACGGGGGAUAAAGGAGAAAGAAAGGGAGGAAGGAAGAUUCCUGGAUCUCCUUUUUCGCGCAGCCGGUUUCGCGUAGACGGCCUUGAAAUUCGUGAGAUCGGAGAACAAUCGGGUACGGGCGUCCGUCCGUGCAGGAUGGUCCACAGUGGCGCCGACCGGUCUCCAUCUUGCCCCACCAUCAUUCUCCACGGUUCGUUAAGGACCCCACCAUACGUCGGGAGCAGGUUUCGGCUCGAGGCUUCCACGCCCGUGUGUAUAGACUGCUUCGUCUGCUCCUGCUGCUGCUGCUGCUGCCGCUCCUGCCAGCCCUCUCUCUAUCGUUGAACCGUUCCGGCCCGUCAAGGACACAGUUCGGUUCAGUGCCGUGCAAAAGAGGGUCAGCCGCGUAGACGAAAAGUUUCAAGGGCAGACACGGCACGACGCUGCGACGCGACGGCACACCGCAGGCCGCUCGCCGCAACGGGGACCCGACCGCCCCUCCGCGCGCGCUCGAGCUCGCCUCGCAUCGCUUCGCCUCGCCUCGCCUCGCCUUGCCGCGCCUCGCCUCGUCUCGCGAUCCGCCGUUCCUCGCGAAAUUUCAAACUGCGCGCGCCUCCUCGCUCUCGACGACCUCCGGCCGACAUUGAAUUUGGGACUUGCACGCGUCUGCUCGCCGCUCGCCGCUGUUCCAUGCCGGUCCUCGUCGAAGCAACGGAACUCCGUCGUCGGACCUGCACACGUCGUCGCAGCUCCUCGCACAGCUGUGUUUCCACCGGAGAGUACCAAGACAGCAACGAACUCUCGGAAAGAUCACUCGGGUCCCGAUGGAAGUGCUCGUGAUGAAUCUUUGCUGAUUUUCGCCGGGAUCCAGUGUGACCGGAUCGAACAGUGUCGAACAGUGCGCGGGACUUGUUCUUUAUCUGUGCGCCGGGGUCAUCGACUCAAUCUGCUCGAAAGAACAGCGGGCGUGAAAGACACGGAGGACUUCGGACAUCGGCGAGAGGAAGCAAGUGUCGUCGGACGAGAACGGACGAACGGACGGGGGAUGAAGUAGCAGAAAUCGCGGGGUCCAAGAAAACCGUCGUCGACGGCAACGAGAAAAAGACGCGAGAAGACGACGCGCGCCAGGGGCGGAGCAAGAGGAGUAGGAGGAAAUAAUAACGACCCCGACGUCGCAGUGCCGCAGAAAGGUUGACGACCCGAUACGCGAGGCGACGCCCUCUCUCCCCUGUCGGCCUGCUAUCCCCUCCUUCGCGACCUCUGCAACCACCAUCCCCUGCAGCAGCCCCCGCCGCCCUCGCCACCCCCUCGGCAACUCCCACUCGGUCUAGCCACCCACCUGGCACUGCACGUCGUGAGCGCAUAGCGUGCGUACGCCAGAACCACCCCUACUCCCUCUCACCCUCUCUCUCUCUCUCUCUCUCUCUAAUUCUAUCUCUGCGUCGCCAUCGCCACCGCACCAUCACCACCACCGAACCACCACCACCAUCACCACCACCACCACCACCACCACCACUGCUAGCAGCAGCAGCAGCAGCAGCAGCAGCACCACAGUCACCCCACGACCGUCUGGCCAGGGUCGGGGUCAUUGAACGUCUAUAAAGAUUUUGACUCUGCGUUACCGCUGCCGCUGAAGCCGACGCCACUGCGGAUGCAGCCUGCGUCGCCCUUCGAGGGGUACGCCCUUUCUUCCUUCCUUCCUUCCUUCCUUGCUUGCUUGUUCGUUUGCUACCUUCCUUCCUUCCUUCCUUGCACGCGCAAGGUGCGCGUCGGGUUCUAAGAAAACGAGAGCCAGCCGUCUCGUCCUGGCCCUUCCCGCAAAUUCAGAACCGGGGGAUCGAUAUCGAAAUUAUCGAGCUCUCCUGGAUUUUCGAGCGGGGUUCGCUGCGCUGAAGCGGGACGGGCACAUAGUCCGCGCGAAUCGGGGACGAUGAACUCACCCCCCGCGCUCGGACGUCGUCGCGGCCGAACGUUAACUCGCCGCCCCGAAUUACAGUUGAAUUCUCCCUAAUUGACGCUCGGAUUGUCCACGAAAAUGGACAAUUUCGGGGCAGCUGGUACGAUUGUUCGAGC